CAGUAGCCGCGGUAAUACGAAGGGGGCUAGCGUUGCUCGGAAUUACUGGGCGUAAAGGGAGCGUAGGCGGACAUUUAAGUCAGGGGUGAAAUCCCAGAGCUCAACUCUGGAACUGCCUUUGAUACUGGGUGUCUUGAGUGUGAUAGAGGUAUGUGGAACUCCGAGUGUAGAGGUGAAAUUCGUAGAUAUUCGGAAGAACACCAGUGGCGAAGGCGACAUACUGGAUCAUUACUGACGCUGAGGCUCGAAAGCGUGGGGAGCAAACAGGAUUAGAUACCCCAGUAGUCCCUGUCUCUUAUAA
rnacentral:rRNA from 1 species